rnacentral:rRNA from 1 species
GAUGAACGCUAGCGGCAGGCUUAACACAUGCAAGUCGAGGGGCAGCAUGACACGGAGAUUCGUCGAAGUGUUGAUGGCGACCGGCGCAAGGGUGCGUAACGCGUGAGCAACUUGCCCGUUUCUGGGGAAUAACCGGUGGAAACGCCGACUAAUACCCCAUGGUAUUGAUCAGAGGCAUCUUUGGUCAAUUAAAGAAUUUCGGAAACGGNUAGGCUCGCGUGACAUUAGCUAGAUGGCGGGUAACGCCCACCAUGGCGACGAUGUCUAGGGGUUCUGAGAGGAAGGUCCCCCACACUGGAACUGAGACACGGUCCAGACUCCUACGGGAGCAGCAGUGAGGAUAUGGUCAAUGGGGGCAACCCUGACCCAGCAACGCCGCGUGAAGGAAGAAGGUCUUCGGAUUGUAAAACUCUUUUGUCAGGGACGAUAGUGACGGUACCUGACGAAUAAGCCACGGCUAACUACGUGCCAGCAGCCG